AGUGGCGGACGGGUGAGUAACACGUAAGAAUUUGCCUUUAGGAGGGGGACAACAACUGGAAACGGUUGCUAAUACCCCAUAUGCUUUCGAGUGAAAUGGAUUUCCGCCUAAAGAGAAGCUUGCGGCUGAUUAGCUUGUUGGUAGGGUAAUGGCCUACCAAGGCGACGAUCAGUAUCUGGUUUGAGAGGACGAUCAGACACACUGGAACUGAGACACGGUCCAGACUCCUACGGGAGGCAGCAGUAGGGAAUUUUCCGCAAUGGGCGAAAGCCUGACGGAGCAAUACCGCGUGAGGGAUGACUGCCUAUGGGUUGUAAACCUCUUUUUUCAGGGAGGAAUAAAUGACGUGUACCUGAAGAAUAAGCAUCGGCUAACUCCGUGCCAGCAGCCGCGGUAAGACGGAGGAUGCAAGUGUUAUCCGGAAUCACUGGGCGUAAAGCGUCUGUAGGUGGCUCGGCAAGUCAACUGUUAAAUCUUGAAGCUCAACUUCAAAAUCGCAGUCGAAACUAUCGAACUAGAGUAUAGUAGAGGUAAAGGGAAUUUCCAGUGGAGCGGUGAAAUGCGUAGAGAUUGGAAAGAACACCGAUGGCGAAGGCACUUUACUGGGCUAUUACUGACACUCAGAGACGAAAGCUAGGGUAGCAAAUGGGAUUAGAUACCCCAGUAGUCCUAGCUGUAAACAAUGGAUACUAGGUGUUGA
rnacentral:rRNA from 1 species